rnacentral:rRNA from 1 species
AACGAACGCUGGCGGCAGGCUUAACACAUGCAAGUCGAACGUCUUCGCAAGAGGGCGUGGCAGACGGGUGCGUAACGCGUGGGAACAUACCUCUCGGUUCGGAAUAACCCAGGGAAACUUGGGACAAUACCGGAUACGUGCGAAAGCAGAAAGAUUUAUCGCCGAGAGAUUGGCCCGCGUCCGAUUAGCUGGUUGGUGAGGUAACGGCUCACCAAGGCGACGAUCGGUAGCUGGUCUGAGAGGAUGAUCAGCCACACUGGGACUGAGACACGGCCCAGACUCCUACGGGAGGCAGCAGUGAGGAAUAUUGGUCAAUGGGCGGAAGCCUGAUGCAGCAACGCCGCGUGCGGGAUGACGGCCUUCGGGUUGUAAACCGCUUUCAGUAGGGACGAAGCGCAAGUGACGGUACCUACAGAAGAAGCACCGGCUAACUCCGUG